rnacentral:sRNA from 1 species
UACGAUUAUGCGGUCGAAUUAAAUGGA